ACUUCCGGAGCCGGGCGUCUGCAGACUGCGGCCACCUCCACCUCCGCCCAAGGCAGACGGUGCAGGGGCCUCCGGGACAGGCGUCUGAGGCCUGCUCCGCAGCGCGGGCCUGGGGGCGGGCCUAGGGGCGGGGCCUGCCGCGGUGCGCUCAGGCGCCGAGCUGGCCACCUGUGCCCGGGUCCUAGUGGCGGCCGCAGUGACGUAGGCCGGAGGGAAGAUGGCGGCGCCCUGGUGGCGAGUCGCGCUGUGCGGGUGUCGGAGAUGGCGGGGCUUCAGCACCUCAGCCGUCCUGGGCCGCCGGACACCCCCGCUGGGGCCGAUGCCCAACAGUGACAUCGACUUGAGCAACCUGGAGCGGCUGGAGAAGUACCGGAGCUUCGACCGCUACCGGCGCCGGGCAGAGCAGGAGGCGCAGGCCCCGCACUGGUGGCGGACCUACCGGGAGCAUUUCGGGGAGAAGACAGAGUUCGAGCUCCUAAAAUAUUUGCUUCUAAAAUUUUGACCACCUGACCUUCCGGAUUGGGAUGCCGUUCU
rnacentral:sRNA from 1 species